AUAUUUGGAAUGGAAGAGUAAUGCUAUACAUGACUGUUUAAAAGAGAGCAAAGUAUCAGAUAAGGGGAUGGAAUUAUGAGGCACACACUCACUAAUCAGCAUUGAAAGCUCCCCUCCAAGCAUCGACAAUUUAGUUAAAUCUGAGGGAUCCUUCCAAUUCUCUACAAUUUCUCAAGUCCUGUUCUGAAUGUCCCUCUACUUUACCAUCAAUCUCCUUAAUUUCCCUUUCUUCAAAACUUACCCAGCUUGGAAAUCCAGAAAAUUUAGUUCUUCAUUUAGAAACUGUUUCUGAUUGUUUUAACCUAAGCUCAGACCAGGGAUCUCUCAGCCUUCUUGGGCCAGGAUACAGCCUCCAGUAUCACUCCAAGGUUCAGCUCUGGGAAAAUGUCUUCAGUGGUCUCUUUAUGAGGCAGUUCACAAAUUAAAUAUUAGACAUUAACAUACAAUCGCCAAACAAACUAGUGAAUAUAAAAUCUGAGUUCUGGAUAAACUGGAUUGAGGAAUUCAACUGAGUUAUAUUCAGGAUUCUGGCAAAGAGUACAAUCAUUUUUAGUCUUUUAGGAUUCCAGAUCUAUUUUAAAAACUACUGAAAAUCAUGAAAUUUCAUUUUAAAUAUAAGCAGAUUCUCCUUAAUAUAUAGUGGAGUUACAUCCCUAUAAACCUGGAAUAAGUUGAAAACCUUUGAAGUUAAAACUGUAAUUAAUAUACCUAAGCUACCAAAUACACAUAGCUUAGCAACACAGUACUGCCAAGUAUUGCUUGUUUAGUCUCAGAUUUGUAAGAUGGACUGAAAGCUACUUCCCAGAAUCAUGAGAGAGCACUAGUACACUAACCUGGAAGAAAAUAAAAAUUUAAAAAUUUAAAAUUUCUACUGAAAGUGUAUCACUUGUGUACCGUCAUAAAGUAAAAAAAAAAAAAAAUCAGAAGUGAAAUCAUCAUAAAUUGGGACUUGUAUGUAGAUUCACACACAUAACACCAUUCCUGGAAUUUUUCAGAGUACCCUAAAUAGGUUGCAUUCAUGCUUGAUUUGUUGGUUCAACAAAUAAUUGAUGUGUAUCUACUAGCUAUACCAAUCUAGAUCUUGACUUUAAAGAGCCCUGGGUUGUCUUAAAGGGAUUUAUAAUUUAAAAGUUUUUUAUUUCGUUAAUUUUAGGACAGCUCACUGCUGAAUUCUAUGAUCCUCAUAAGAACAUUAGACCUGAGGCAUAUGAGAAAAGUGGAAAGAAGACAACGGGUGAUGAAAAGACCUAAUAAGCCAUCUGUCUUCUAAUACUGGUCUUUCUCAAAAAAUAAGGGAUCUCUAGAUAUGUUGCUGUAGGGGGAAAGACUGCUAUAUCCAUGAAGAAGACAAAGCUAUCAGUAAAUCAAAAUAAAAUAUAUGAUACUGAGUUCAUAUAGACUAGGUAAACUGGAUCAUUAAGUUAACCAGACCCAGAUGAAAAGGCUACUUUUGUAGCCCACUAGUUUUGAAGACCUGAAAAAAAUUAUUAAUACUCUUAGAUUGUCAGUUUUAACAUUUGAAAAACUGAAAGAAUAACAGGCUCUCCUAAGUUGUGCAGAUUCAGUAUCAUGAUUCCUGCAAAGAUAAUUACCAGGGCCCAGAACAGAGUAGAUAUUCCUGAUGAUUUCUAAUUACAAAUAUCCCUUCUUGAAAAGUCAGUGAAUGACUGUAUGCCCCUUAAAGACAGCACAGCACUGUUAUGAUGUUUUGGACAAAAAUGGUCAGACUUGCACAAAGCCAUUUGAAAUUCUGAAUUCAGAUGGAAGUUAGUAGGUCAAUCAUGCCCUCAGAUCAAGAUAAUCAUAAAAAUAACUGAUAGGCCUAGCAUUCAACACUAAGUGUUAGAGGUUACAACCUCAAAACAUAUCUCCUGCUUACACUUAGGAAACUUUGCUCCUAAUCACACUUCAUGGAAACAUAAAAACCCCUAACUGAGUACUAAACUGGAGAGCAGUGAUGUUUCAAAAGCACCAGGGGGCGCUGUAGCUCACUCUGCAGAAGAAAUGAGUCUUGGGUUUUAUGAAAAAACUUGUCAAGACACAGUAUGUGAUAGCGCAGAGCUCUUUGGAACUAUUUACCAUUGCAAUUUUUGCUUAGAACCCAUUAAAUUUUAAUUUCCCCUAUUAACUUUGGCUUUCAAAAUUGAGUCAUAGUAUUGGGGGGGUAAUAUAAUACUAUUUCUCAUUAAAACCCACAUUGGAGAGUAUGACAUGUACUAUGUGGAUUUUUAAACCUCCUUUAUAGAUACAAUAAUGUAAAAAAUAAAGUUAUUUGUAGGCAAGAGACAUUUUAUUUACAAAAACAAAGCAUAGGAGAGAGUAUUUCCUGAAUCUUAUCUUCUCAAAUUACUUUAAAUAAUCCAGUCUCCUUGCUGUGGCUUAUCUUUCAAUUAAUUCUCAUAGAAGUAGGUAGGAUCUCAUCUUUACUAAUUUUAUUCAAAUAUUUAUCUAGAAUUAACUAUGUAAAAGUUCCUGAGAAUAAAAAUCAUAAAGUCAAACUUGGUCCCUAAUGUAAUAAGUCACCCAACACUGUCUUUGUCCCGAAGCUUACAUGCUUACAUGUCAGUGGGAGAGAUAGAUAAUAGAUAUCUAAAGAGCAAAUAUAUGGGAAACUGAAUAUACAAACAAUGAUCAAAUCAUGCAUAAAAUUAGAACUCUGACCCACAGCCUGCAGGAACCUGCCCAGAAAGCCAAUUCCUUAUCAAUCAUAAACAGCCCAGGAAUCCAACCAGCUUUAUGUCAGAACUGCAGGAAGUCAGAUUGCUAUCUUUAGGAUGAACCCAGUAAGCUGAACAAUAACUUCUGUGAAAAUCAGUCUCAAAUGACCAGUGCUGAUAAAUAAUUGACAACUUCCAAAAUUAUUGUCCCUACUGCCAAUUUAGGACCAACAAGUGUGAGUCAAAGAGUCAAUCCCAUUGGGUGCUUGGCUUCCAGUUAGCCCACCGCCAGCUUUCGCAUGUCCAGAGCCUCCAAUCAGGGCACAUCGAGCCUUUUCUUUUCUACUGCACAGCUUUCUCACUUCUCUGUCUGCCUUUGAGUCUUUGCCAAAAAGCCAGUGACAGUAGCUGAAUCACUAGCUAGGGCUAGCUGUGAAUACACAGCCGUUGCUUUUCUCCUCUGGUUCUACUUUUGUUUAUUUCUACAUACAUGAGAGAUUAAAUGAAAUACUAUUAGAAAAAUAAAUCGGAAUGAAGGAAGAUAGUACCUGUGAAGGAGAGACUUUAUUUUAUGUAGGUUUAUUUUGUUCAUUUUAUUCUACUUUAAUUUACUUAGAUAUUUGCUAAAAAUUAUUUUUAAGUAAAGACCUAAAAGAAGUAAGGAAUUGAGCCUUGUGGAAACUGAAGGAAAACUAACUGCAUACAGAGGGAGGAGAGUUCAGGUCUCAAGGGGACGAGUCCUCAUGCGGAUUAUCUGCCAGGAUUUCAGUCUUUGCUUGAGCAAUAUGGGCAAGGAAAAUGAGUAGGUAAUGUGUCCAGAGAAGUAUUAAGUCAUGUCUAGGGGGUUAACUCUUACUCUGAUUAAGAAGAGAUAUUCUUUGUAGACUUAAGCAGAGGAAUGACAUCAUUUUAAAGCAGCAUACAGAUUUCUGUAAUGAUAAAAGAUUAUAGGGAAUGGGGGAGUAAUGGUAGAAGCCAGGUCGGACUGUGAUAAGGUACACAGAAGACAAAGGCAGCUUGAAUCGGGCUUCUAGGGGUGGCAGUGGUGGGUACCUUGACUGUAAACAGACAGAUGUGUUGAACAAUGGGAUCUGAAGGAUGAAGUAGAAAGGAGACAAGAGGAUGAAGUGAAUUCUGAGAAGUCUGGACAUGAGAAGUGAAUAAAUAGUACAGGGUGGUGGUCAAAAUUGGUAAUUUAGUCCCCAUUUCUAAUCUUGAGAUGUUCAAGGGACAUUGUUUUCAGGAGAAAACUCUAGGUUAGGGAUAAAAAUUUGGGAGCUGUCAGCACAUGAAACCAUCUAUAUGGUCAACCUAGAACACUCUAUUUGGAGGUGGAGGAAAUGAGAAAGAGCCCACAAAAAGCACUGAGUGACCUGAGAGGUUGGAAAAGAAUCAAGAGUGGCAUUCCUCACCCUUAGCACUGAGUGAGUCAGGGAAUUGUUGACUGACCACAUUCUUCUCUCUGGCAGGUUAAGUAAAAUGAAAACUAAGAACUGAAGAUGGACAUUGUUAGCCUAUGUACGUGUAUGAUUGCACAAAUGGUGUGACUCUGCAGUGUGUACCACCAGAGAAAUGAAGAGUAGAGCUCCAUUUGUAUACAAUGAGUCGAAAUGCAUUCUGCUGUCAUGUCUAACUAAUUAGAACAAAUAAAAAAAAAAAAAAGAAUUGGUGGCCUUUAGCAAUGUGGAGCUCAUCAGUGACUUUGAAAAGAGUUUUUACUAGAGUUGUAAAGAAUGAAGUCUUUUUGAAAAUAACUGAAAGGAAAAUGAGAGCAAAGACAAAUCAAAAAUAAUCUGGUGUGGUGAAUCAGGGUCACAGUCAAGGUCGAGUCAAAGAGAUGUUUCCUGGAAACUAGUCUAUGAGAACACCGAAAAGACCAGUCUUUUUCAAAGCUUGCUGUGGGAGUUUCCAUCAACACUGAAGAAAAUUAACUUAUGUUGAUCCCAUCUCAUUCCCCUGUAGAUCGCUGUGACUUCUAAAAACCUCUCACAAAGCCCACUUUAAAGAAGGUUUCCUUUAUUAAAAAUUAAAUAAACGGUUUCCCUUUUGCCUGCUCAUUUGUUGCCUAAUAUUUACCAUGGUACAGUAAUUAUUGAAAAAAAAUUUGCAACUGUGAUUUGGGGAAAUCAGUUAUUGAUAAAUAC